rnacentral:rRNA from 1 species
UUCGGUGAAUACGUUCCCGGACCUUGCACACACCGCCCGUCAAGCCAUGGAAGCCGGGUGUACCUAAAGUCGGUAACCGUAAGGAGCCGCCUAGGGUAAAACUAGUGACUGGGGCU